GAUAAAGCUACGGCCAAAAUCUCGCCGAAUGAGCGCAGUUUUCAUCUUAAUCCUACCCCAAACGUAACCAUAAACCCAACAUUUCACGGCACUUAGGCCGUAUAUUUAUCCUAUCAAGCCAGAACCGCUGUUUUUCGUUCCAUUUCUACCCCGAAACCUAACCAUAAACCCAACAUCUCGCGAGAUUUGUCUGUAGCUGUAUCCAGUCUCUCCCCUCCAGAGUCCAGGCAGUCAGAAGAACCAUCAAUCAUCUGUCGAGCAGGUCUUCAUCAAGAGACAUCACAAAGAAGAGCGUCGAGAUUUUGAAAAAGAAACAUUCAGCACAAUCGGCCAUCGAAAUGCCAAAGCGCAAGUUAAAGCAACAACACAAGAAUCAGGAGUCCAUUCCAGAGUGCUCCAAAGAUGCCACACCCAAUGAUCUGGAGGAAACUGAACCUUCUUUACCAAGCUGCAGCAGCCAGGGUUCUGAUACUAGCAUUGUUUCCAUGAAAAUGAGGAUUGAAUUUCUGGAAGAGAAAAUAAAGUGGCAAGAAAAAAUGAUUGGAGAGCUAGAAAAUGAACGUGAUUUUCUCCGGGAACAGGUUCUUGGAAAAACCAAAGGACAAUAUGUUGGUUAGUAUAUUAAUAUGACAAUGCAGUGUGAAAAAUGUAUUACAUAAAAGCAAUUUAUCCACCAUGGUUUUUAAACUUCUGUAAUUUUUACUGAUUUCAAUUGCUGAUUGCUAUUAGGUUUUGUUAACUUUAAUUAUUUUUAAACACUGGCUUAUUGGGACAACAAUAUUCUGACCAAGCUUUAGCUAAAUGUGUCAAACCCUAUUGUAGGUCAGUGAAUACUAGUGAAUUGUACCUACUGUACCUGUAGAUACCUGUUUGACAUGUUUUGCAAAAGCAUACAGGGAGUAACAUUUAUUAAGAUGUGUAAACUCUUUAAUUCAAAUGUUCCAAAAAGUGUCAUCCAGUCAAUGAUAAGCUACUGAUGAUUAGCAAAUAAUUUAUGUUGAUUGUCUAAAGCAGCAUCAGGAUAGAGGAAAAUGCUGCCUGCCUUUAAAAUCUGUAGGCCUGUGUUAAUGCCAGCUUCUAAUAAUUUAAAAAUGCUAUGCUACACUUUUAUUUUUAGCACCUUUGAAUGUGAAACAAGAAGUCCACCAUGACUACAAUGAAGACACUACUUCCUCAUCCCCAAGUCUUAGUGAAUCAGACGAGCCCAAAAUAAUAGAGGACAAACAGAAGAAAAGGAAGAAGGCAGCACACCAUUCUCUUCGACAUCACAUAAGAGUUAAAGGUCCAGAGGAGGUGAUCAGACGCUACCAGCAAGUCCUCAAAACAUUUAAGAAAGUUCGCACAAUGUCUGAAGCAUUCCAUCGACACAAUGUUGACAGGGGCACCAUUGUGGGAACUGCACCAAUAGCGGAGCUUCAGGUUGCAGACCCCAAGAUCUAUAGCACCUUGGUGUUUAAUCCAGCUAUGGAAACAUUACUAGCUUUUGCGAAAAGAUGUCCUGGUACUGUAAGUCCAGAAAUUAAAAGAUCUAUUGAAGAUCUCAAGGCUCGAGGGCAUCUAUUGCCCAUUUUGAUCAAGUACUGAAGUGGUGUUGCUUGAUUUUUUCUAGAAAGACUGUUAAGUAAAAGUUGAGUUUAAAGGGAUAGUUCAUCCAAAAAUGAAAAUUCAGUCAUCAUUUACUCACUCUCAUGUUGUGAACACGGAGGAAGAUAUUUUGAGGAAUGUUUGUAACCUAACCAAUCAUGAGCCCUAUCACUUGCAUAGUUUUCUUUUUUCCUUCUUAUUCCUACACUAUGGUGUGAAUGGUGCUCAUGAUCAGUUUGGUUACAAACAUUCCUCAAAAUAUGUUCUCGUGUUUAUCAGAACAAAGAAAAUGAUACAGGUUUGUAACAACAUGAGAGUGAGAAAAUAAUGACUGAAUUUUCAUUUUUUGCGAACUAUCCCAAAAUUGUUAUUGUUGUAGAAAUUAUAUUACUGGAUGUUUAAACUUGUUCUUGUUUUUAUAUCGUAAAUGUUGAUAAAGAGGUGGUUACUGACUUUGUGAGCAGUGCUUAUAUAAAAGGAGCUGAAGGAGUCCUUUAAUAUGUAAGAUUGUUAUAGUGAAAACUUAAUGUUAAUUGUUUUUUCGGUGCUUAUAUAAAAGGACCUGAAGGAGACCUUUAAUAUGUAAGAUUGUUAUAGUGAUAACUUAAUAUGUCAAUUGUUUGGCAAUUGAUUGUAAUAUUUUGGGAUGUCUCUCACCUGCAGUUGGUUCUUUUGUUGAAACUUGAAACAAUAAAGAACAAGUUAUUUACUGCAAUAUUUAUUGUCUCUUCUGUUAUUGGAAAACAAUAAAUGUUUACUUUAGAAUAGGGAACAUACUCUUAAGUAAUACUGCCUUAAUAUGCAUAUAUUAGUGAGAAAUAUACUUAUUACCCAUUAAUAUACUCAGGGAAUAGUUGAGUUAUAAAUAGUUUGUUAGUGUAGUACAACUUCUAAAAAACUGCUUCUGUGUAACAUGAAAGUACUUUUUCUGCUCAUUUAAAUGUUUGUUUUGAAAUGCCCAUUCUAUAUUUAUUUCACACUUAUAAGCUACAAACUCAAACAGUGUACUAAGAACCUAUAAAGUGUGUAUUUUUCACAAUACAAGCUAUUAGUAUCUUUUGUUUUUAGUUAAUAAGUUCAUUGUUAGGACAAAAUCAAGUGUUAAGGGGCUAUAAGACAAAAACAAGACAACAACCAAUAAAUGGCUUAUAAAUAGAUUGUAACUGCUUACAGGUCACUAACUAGUC